ensembl:ncRNA W06B11.5 ncRNA
UCUUGGCUUCUGUGCUCAUCUUUUCAACCCCCCCCCCCUUACAUUGCAUGAAUAACAAGGAGUGCGGCUCAUUUUGCCGCCAAUUAGAAUGUGUAGGGUCGGAGGCGUGCGGGCGGAGUCAGUGGCAGAUCUAGAGUCAGAGGAAAUUUACAAUGUCAUCGUGGCUCGGGACAACUAGCUUCAUCGGGACAAAGUUAAGGGGUCCCGUACCUCAUCUUGAAAGAAGCGCACACCAUUUUCUCAUUUAUUAUGACCGACGAGGCGGCGGGAUGUGUUGAUGUCCGGUACCUAGUUGGAUACAAUUACCGUAG